rnacentral:tRNA from 1 species
ACCAGGAUGGCCGAGUGGUUAAGGUGUUGGACUUAAGAUCCAAUGGGCAAAAGCCCCCGUGGGUUUGACCCCCACUUCUGGUA